UGUUGAGGAAGAUAAUGACGGUACUCAACAAGGAAGUGACGGCUAACUACGUGCCAGCAGCCGCGGUAAAACGUAGGUCACAAGCGUUGUCCGGAAUUACUGGGUGUAAAGGGAGCGCAGGCGGGAGAACAAGUUGGAAGUGAAAUCCAUGGGCUCAACCCAUGAACUGCUUUCAAAACUGUUUUUCUUGAGUAGUGCAGAGGUAGGCGGAAUUCCCGGUGUAGCGGUGGAAUGCGUAGAUAUCGGGAGGAACACCAGUGGCGAAGGCGGCCUACUGGGCACCAACUGACGCUGAGGCUCGAAAGUGUGGGUAGCAAACAGGAUUAGAUACCCUGGUAGUCCACACCGUAAACGAUGAUUACUAGGUGUUGGAGGAUUGACCCCUUCAGUGCCGCAGUUAACACAAUAAGUAAUCCACCUGGGGAGUACGACCGCAAGGUUGAAACUCAAAGGAAUUGACGGGGGCCCGCACAAGCAGUGGAGUAUGUGGUUUAAUUCGACGCAACGCGAAGAACCUUACCAAGUCUUGACAUCCUGCGACGCACAUAGAAAUAUGUGUUUCCUUCGGGACGCAGAGACAGGUGGUGCAUGGUUGUCGUCAGCUCGUGUCGUGAGAUGUUGGGUUAAGUCCCGCAACGAGCGCAACCCUUAUGGUCAGUUACUACGCAAGAGGACUCUGGCCAGACUG
rnacentral:rRNA from 1 species